rnacentral:rRNA from 1 species
GUGGGGAAUAUUGGGCAAUGGGCGAAAGCCUGACCCAGCAACGCCGCGUGAGGGAAGAAGGUUUUCGGAUUGUAAACCUCUGUCCUUGGUGACGAAGGAAGUGACGGUAGCCAAGGAGGAAGCCCCGGCUAACUACGUGCCAGCAGCCGCGGUAAUACGUAGGGGGCGAGCGUUGUCCGGACUGACUGGGCGUAAGGGGCGUGUAGGCGGCCGAUUAAGUCUGGAGUGAAAGUCCUGCUUUCAAGGUGGGAAUUGCUUUGGAGACUGGUUGGCUUGAGUGCGGAAGAGGUAAGUGGAAUUCCCAGUGUAGCGGUGAAAUGCGUAGAGAUUGGGAGGAACACCAGUGGCGAAGGCGACUUACUGGGCCGUAACUGACGCUGAGGCGCGAAAGCGUGGGGAGCGAACAGGAUUAGAAACCCUAGUAGUCC